rnacentral:rRNA from 1 species
AUUGAACGCUGGCGGCAUGCCUUACACAUGCAAGUCGAACGGCAGCAUGAUCUAGCUUGCUAGAUUGAUGGCGAGUGGCGAACGGGUGAGUAAUACAUCGGAACGUGCCCUGUAGUGGGGGAUAACUAGUCGAAAGAUUAGCUAAUACCGCAUACGACCUGAGGGUGAAAGUGGGGGACCGCAAGGCCUCAUGCUAUAGGAGCGGCCGAUGUCUGAUUAGCUAGUUGGGGAGGUAAAGGCUCACCAAGGCAACGAUCAGUAGCUGGUCUGCGAGGACGAUCAGCCACACUGGGACUGAGACACGGCCCAGACUCCUACGGGAGGCAGCAGUGGGGAAUUUUGGACAAUGGGGGCAACCCUGAGCCAGCAAUGCCGCGUGUGUGAAGAAGGCCUUCGGGUUGUAAAGCACUUUUGUCCGGAAAGAAAUCGCACUUACUAAUAUUAGGUGUGGAUGACGGUACCGGAAGAAUAAGGACCGGCUAACUACGUGCCAGCCGCCGCAGUAACAC